UUUUUUUUUUUUAGCCUAGAUAUGGCUUAGACGUACAAUUUGGAAAAUAUUAGUGUUUUAUGUUUAAAAAUGAUAAGUAGAUUAUGAGUUCACAAGUUCUCAUAAAUCUUUUGGUUCUCAAAAGAACGUCUCGCUCUCUCUCUCUCUCUGUAUAUAUAUAUAUAUAGAGAGAGAGAGAGAGAAGAGAUGAUGAUGAGAGUUUAAUUAAGAAAAAAAAGUUAAGAAUCUAAGAAUCAAUCACUACCACACAUGUAUUUUGCUGUAAAAAUGUUGGGAAUACCGACGGAAAUGAGCAAAAGAUACAUGUGUGUGCUCGAACCAAGCAUGAUUCCUUCAAUUAUACAAAUCAAUACCUUUAUNUAUAUAUAUAUAUAUAUAUAUAUAUACAUACAAAAACAUAGUUUUUUUUUAAAAUCAAUUUUAUUCGGAAAAAAAUUAUAAAUAUAUCAAAAUUCAUAAUUUUUUUUCUUUAUAAUAAAACAUCAAAAUUGAUAUAGUUUAUGAUAAAAUAACAUUUUUUUAGUUUCAGCUAUCUUUAUUCAUUAGUGAAUAAAAAUGUAUGAACUUUUUAGUACAGUACAUUGGUUAUUCGCUUAUCCAUAAAAAGUAUGCUUAUUUAUUUAUAGUUUAAAUAUCAUUCAUAUAUGAAUAUAACAUAUAAUAAAGUUGAUCACCUAAAAAUAUAUUUUUUUUGCAUCAUCUUUCGUCACAUAUUAUAUUCAUAUAUGAAUAAAACAUAUAAUAGCUCACAUCAUAUAUUAUAUUUAUGUAUCAAGAAAACAUGUAUCUGAUUUUUGUUACAAUUAAUUUUUUUAUUCAUAUAUGAACAAGUAGUAUGUUAAUGAAAUGCGAAAUGUUUUGAAAAAAUUGAACAACUCAUUCAUAUAUGAAUGACAAAUAACUGUAACAAAAUUUGGAUAAACGUGUUAUUCAUAUAUCAAUAUAACUUGUGACCAGAGUCAAUGCAUGUUUUAUUCAUAUGUGAAUAUAACAAUUGACGAGAAUUGAUGUAAACUAUCAAAAAGUUUAUUACAUGUUAUAUUCAUAUAUAAAUGAUACAUAAACCAUAAAAAAAAGUUAAGCAUAUUUUUUAUUCUUAAGUGAAUAAUGAAUGUACUGUAAUAAAAACGAAAUAAAAAUUUGAUUCACUUUUAUUCACUUACAAAUAAUAAAAGUUAAAAAUGUAAAAAAUGUUAUUUUAUUUUAAAAUAUAUCAAUAUGGAUGCCUAUUUAUGGAGAAUAAAAAAUUAUAAAUUUUGAUACAUUUAAAAUCAUUUUUUGAUAAAAAUAUUUCCUUAAAAAAUAAAAAAAUAAAAACAAAAAAACUAUGGUUUUUUGUAUAUAUUAAAGUAAUGAUUACCAUAGUUUAAGGAAACUUAUUUUGUUUCUAAAUAAACAUGUAUUUCUUUCCCCUUUCUGUCGGUACGAUGGAGGAUUUUAAGACAAAAACAAAUGAUAGGCUGAGAAUUAUUCACUCAUUUCAAUCUUUUUAUUUUGUCAAUUAAACUUCUCUCUCUCUCUCUCUCUCUCUCUCUCGGUAUAUAUNAUAACUUAGCCCUAUAUAUAUAUAUAUAUAUAUAUAUAUCCUCCCUAAUAAAUAAAGAACUUUUUGUCACAUGUCCUCUUCUCCUUUAAUUGGACACAGGACAUUUUCUAGAUUUUUUGAAUUUACUAUUUUCCACUUGUCGUUUUAUUGUAUUUUUCAUUUUAUUAAAUUAAAAUUCCACAUAUAAUUGGACACUUGACAUUUUCUAUUUUCCACAUGUCCGUACCUUAUAUUUUUCUGAAAAUUGUAUAUCCUUCAUACAAACUCCGUUUUGACCUUUUCCCUUUCAAAGUCCUGCAGUGCGCAUCUGGCGCCUCUGGCCCAUUUCUACAGUUUAAGCAGUAUUUAUCUUUUCUAACUUAUUCUUAUCUGUCUUUCAGUCUAUUUUUUUACAGAUAUAGCGAGAUGAGGUCGACAAGCUGCGGGUCAGUUACCUUCUAACUGGCCUUCACAUCCUUUCCUAGAGGUCCCCAAUGAUCUUCCUGAUCGGAGUUCUUUUGUUUCUCCCCUGACUACUCUUGUAUCCAAGAAGAUCAGUAUUCCCCCGGCUCUUUCCUAGAGAGUGGUAGAUGAGUCUGGGUUGAAGGCUUGAGUGGGGCCAUUUCUUACCCGUGUAUUGCGGGAUGAUAACGGUCUUGAGUGUUUUUUCUAGCACGGAUUUUUGGCGGGUUGUUGGGUUUCAAGAGGUGGUUUACAAGGAGCUUUGUUGGGAUUUCAUUUUUGAUAGUCCGCUUCAACAAGGCAUCGACGAGAUGGGCAUAUCGAUUGGUGUUUACUUUUAUCUUGGGAGAUGUAUCCCGCUCCAACAGCCUGAUUGAGCUGGGAGGCAUCUAGGGAUCUAUAUAGCUGAGGAGACUCUGAGUCCUCAUUUUUAUGCCUAUCUUGACAACUGUAUUACUGAGUAACCACAUGAGUAAAACUACAUAAAGGUCUGGGGUCACGCUAGGGGGACUUAUCUUUUCAGGAAGACCAAGGAGAGCACUUUCUGAUCUCCAAUCUAUCGGUUGAUCCACUAAUUGGUCGCUUCUACCAUUUUUCACUGCCAGGAGUAUGACAAGGUUCCUUCUGGAAACCUAUUUUAUGUGUUGUGCCCUACUCAGACAGAGGUUCGUCUUUAUCUUCCUUUUGCUAUUGUUCUCUACUUAUCUGGCAUGGAUCUAGGCUCCGCACCUUCGACCAGGAUUUGUGAGGGUUACUACAUUACUAGGUUGGCGUUACCAUAUAAGGUUGGCACUAGUGGGAUGGUUCCUAUUUGUAUCCUAGAGAUGGGUACUGCCACUAUUGGUAAGAUACGGGUGUUGGUUCUAGGAGAGGGGUAUCAAUGGAGGAUUCUGGAUUACGAUAUAGUGGAGCCACUUCAACCAAUCGUGUUAGAGGAUAUUCCUAAGCCUGUCUUUGUGAGGCGUCAGAGACCUAGUGAAACGACUCAAAAUACGACCCAAAAUUUUUUGUUUUAAUAUAACUAAAAAAAGUCCUCGAAUAUCAUAUAUAAUAAAAACAUGGCAUGAGUAACUCAAAUGUCAUAGUACUGUGUCAAAACAAAACUAUAUCAAUCAUAACAAUAUCCGAAAUAAAUUCCCAGGAUAAACUGAAGUUGUGGUGUGUGCGAUACCACCAACCCGAGCUCUUCCCUUUGCUUGCGGAACUACCUGAAAUCAAAACUGAAACUGUAAGAAAAAAGCUUAGUGAGCUCCCCCAAACUACCACAUACCAAACAAUAACACAUAAAACACAUACUGGGCCUUGCCUACUGCAUCGGACCGAAGUUCGGAAACUAACCAUGGUCUUGCCCUCUGCAUUGGACCGAAGUCCGGAAACAGCAUCAGACCAAAGUCCAGAAACUAACCAGGGCCUUGCGCUCUGCAUCGGACCAAAGUCCGGAAACUGCAUCGGACCGAAGUCCGGAACUAACUGGGACCUUGUCCCCUGUAUCGGACCGAAGUCCGGAACUAACUGCAUCAGACCGAAGUCUGGAAUUGAUUGCACAUAACAUAACAUAUCAACUAGCACGAACACAAAUACUACAUACUACAUCAGACCAGGGUCCGGAACACGUAACACAAACAUGCUUGUAUCACAAAGACAUCAAGCACACUACCAUUGCAUCAGACUUAUGUUUGGAAUUACUACUAACUAAACAGGUCGACAUUGUGGCCAUAGACCCGUUCCUACUAGAAGGAAACUCACCUCGUAAUGCUGGCUGCUGAGAUGCUAGCUCUAAAAGUGGUUGACUGCUGCUCCGAAACUGUCCGGCUACAAAUCCUAAAAACACUAGAUUAGUUACUUGCAAAUACGCUUAGGGUAAGAUGACUAUUUUACCCCUGGUCAAGUCAACUUCCAGUUGAUCGGACUCGCCGAUUCAUGGCGCAGACUCGCCAAGUUCCUUCAUUACUAUCACUGAAUUUAACUCACCGAGUCCCUUUCCCACUCACUGACUCACCCUGAACUCACAAGCCGAAGAAAAACUAGGACUCGCGACUCAACUUGUCGAGUCCGAAGAACAACUCGCCGAGUCCUGUCAUGCAGAUUCCAUACAGUUGAAUUCUAAACCAUUCCAGAGCAUCUAACUUGUAGUUCUGAGCCCCUGGAACAAUCUGAACACGUAAAGUUACUAACUUAACGUGUAAUAAGAAGGAAUGAAGUUAUUUCACUCAAACACUACUUUUCUCGGGAAAACUCAUACGACUCGCCGAGAUGUAUGAACUGAUGGGUUUUGAGCAUUCUAACACUUCCUAAGUGUACAUGCAACCCUAAUAACCUUGGAUCUAUGUUUGUCUAAUUAUCAUGCAAAGUUGAAUUCCAAGGUUAUAUUCCUAUCUAGCAUACAUGGGGAACAAUUUUAACUUGAAUCAUAGAUAGAAUAACUUACCUUGUUGUUGCUUGUGUUCCUUGAAACCUUGUGAGCCUAGCACCCCAAGUGUGAUGCCUCAAAUGCUUCACACAACACCAAAUGCUCUUGGAAAGACUCUUGAGAUAACACACACUUCUCAAAAUCGGCCAAGCCCUCUAGUUUCUUAGUGUCUAGCCGAUUUAUUGGUGGAGAAUGGGAUCUUUAUAUAGUGUUGGCACAUCUAGGGUUACACCAUGUAAACCCUAAUGUGUCAUGACUCUUCAUUUCCAUGACCCAUGGGUUUGUAACUCCCAUGGAGCAUCCAUGGAGCAUCCUAUGGGUAGAACCCAACUUGAUAAUCCAUGGAGCCUUUUAGCCCACUAUACAAGAUAUGGAUGAUUUACAUAACCAACCCAUAUAUUUAAUUAGUUAUCCUUUGAUCACUUAAUUAAUUCCAAAUUAAUUCUUUGAUCAACUAAUUAAAUAAUAUUAUUAAUAUAUUAGAACUUAUAAUAUAUUAAUAAUCUCCAAGUGUUAUUUCUCUCAUUUAGUCUAUCCAAUUGCAUGGUGCCAUGCAACCCAAAUGGACCAUGCCGGGUCGGGUCAAGUACAAGCCCGAAAUAGUUAUGGACUUAGACACCUUAUCCAACAUGAACAACUCGUCGAUUCUAAGGAAAUCUUCAUCGGACUCGCCGAGUUGCUCAUCCAACUCGUCGAGUCCACGACUAUCUUCAUAUGACUCGCCGAGUCAAGCUUGCGACUCGCCAAGUCCAUUCAGUCCCUUUCCCAUACACCCUUGAUUAGAGCCAUGCAGUGGCUCCAAAUCACAAAUCCAAGCUUCUAGGGCAUGCUUAUCAUGUAAAGUUGCAAACUGUAUGUGCAUGCAUGGCUUUAAAGGCUUCAAAUGACAAAAAUAAGCUCUUAAUGGGGUUCUAAGCUCAACAGGGACCUCAAUCACGAACAUGACUGAAACUUUACACUUCUAGAAUGCAAUGAGGGUCCAGAUCUGAAGUUUCCAUCCAAGGAGAGUCCGUAUCUCAAGUUUUGAAUCAUAAAAGGCUCCAAAGAAGGCAUAACAAGCAUAAAGGAGGUUGUAACGGAGGACUACACAAUGCGAUAACUUCAUUACCUGAAUGAAAACAGAUGCAAGCUAACUCCUGGAUCUUCCUUCUCUUCUAUGGACCUUCUCUCUUUCUCAAAGCUUCCAGGCUAUCACAAGCACACUCAAACUCAACAAUGGGGCUAGGGUUUACAGGGGAAAUGUUCUGAAAGUAAUGGAGGCGAGGUUGGCGGCGUAUAAGUGUGUUAAAAUAGGGUGCAAACCCUUAAAAUUAGGGCUUCAUCCAGACAGGCGGACUCGCCGAGUCCAGUGUAUGGACUCGUCAAGUAGCCAGCUCAAAACGCAUGAUUGUGCCAUCUCUACUCGAUGAGUCGGGCUACAGACUCGUCGAGUACCCCUUCAGAAAUGAAAACACUUAUUUAAAUCUUAUACUUGAAAUGGGGCGUUACAACUCUCUCGCACUUAUCUUAGACUUCGUCCUCGAAGUCUGCUACUGCUACUGCAUCUGAAAAUAACUCUGGGUAAUGCUCCCUCAUCUCCCCCUUGGACUCCCACGUCCACUCUGAACCCUUUCGGUGUUGCCACUGCACCUUCACUAACUGAACCACCUUGUUCCUCAAGGUUUUCGUCUUCUGAUCUAAGAUCGCAACUGNGUCUUCGCCUUCCGAUCUAAGAUCGCAACUGGUUUCUCAAUAUAAUUCAGGCUGCUAUCAACCUAAAUAUCCUCCAAGGGUACAACUGCUGACUCGUCCACCAAACACUUUUGCAACUGAGAAACAUGGAAAGUGUUGUGGAUUUGGCUAAGAUCUGUCGGAAGAUCCAAGCGAUAAGCAACCCGACCCACCCGGGCCAGAACCCUAAAAGGACUAAUGAACCUGGGACCCAGCUUGGCCCUCUUCCGAAACCUAAUAACACCCUUCCAGUGAGAUACCUUUAGGAGGACCAUAUCGCCCAACUAAAACUUCAAGUCCGAACGCCUCCUAUCGGUGUAACUCUUCUGUCGACUCUGCGCAGUCUGCAAUCUGCUAUGGACCUGCUGGAUCAACUCUAUGGUCUUGAGCACCACCUCGGUGCUCCCAAUGACUCGCUGACCGACCUCACCCCAACAAAUCAGGGUCCUACAUUUCCUCCCGUAGAGCGUCUCAAAAGUAGGGCGGUCAAUACUAGCGUGGUAACUGUUGUUAUACGAAAAUUCCGCUAGUGGAAGAUAUGUAUCCCAACUACCACCGAAGUCUAGGACACAUGCCUGAAGCAUGCCCACGAGAGUCUGAAUCUUCCUCCCGCUCUGCCCAUCCGUCUGAGGGUGGAAGGCGGUGCUAAAUGAAGACGAGUCCCCAUCUCGUCAUGAAAAGGCUUCCAAAAUCUGGAAGUAAAACGCACAUAGAUGUCGGCUAGCUUCUCAGCCGAUAUUCUCUCCUGGAUCGGUAUAAAAUGUGCGCUCUUGGUCAGCCGAUCCACUAUGACCCAAAUCGAAUCCACUCCCCGUGCGGUCCUGGGAAGCUUAGUGACAAAGUCCAUGGUAAUGUCCUCCCAUUUCCAUACGAGAAUGUCUAAUGGUUGCAUCUUGACAUGGGGUCUCUGGUGCUCUGCCUUGACCUUCCUGCAGGUCAGGCAUCUCUCCACAUACCAAGCGACAUCCCGCUUCAUGCAGGGCCACCAAUAGUCGGGUCGAAGAUCUCUGUACAUCUUCGUCACCCCUGGGUGGAUGGAAAAUCGAGACUUAUGAGCCUCGUCCAUCAGCACCUGCCAUACUCCACCCCAGUAUAGUACCCAAACCCUCCCAUGAAGGGUCAACAAUCCCCGACUGUCAUAAUCAAAGGAAGCUACCCAGACCACGAUCCUCUCACACUUCUGCCUCUCCUCUUUGAGGCCCUCGACCUGAGCCUCCCUGAUCUGCUCCAACAAUGGAGUAGUCACUGUCACCCUUAGGCAUACAUCCCUGAUCGGGGUCGUUGCCGCCUUGCAGCUCAGGGCGUCAGCCACUAUGUUGGCCUUCCCUGGUUGAUAAAGGAUCUCACAUUCGUAAUCGUUCACCACAUCUAACCACCGACGUUGCCUCAUGUUAAGAUUCGGCUGGUCCAUGAGGUACCUCAGACUCUUGUGAUCUGUGUAGAUGGUGCAACAGACCCCAUAGUGGUAAUGUCUCCAAAUCUUGAGGGCGAACACCACUGCCCCCAACUCCAAAUCAUGCGUCGGAUAGUUAGCUUCGUGAGGCUUCAACUGUCUGGAGGCGUAAGCUAUCACGUGCCCUCUCUGCAUCAACACUGCUCCAAAACCUGUGAUCGAGGCAUCACAUUAGACUACAAAAAUCAUCCAUUCCCUCUGGCAGGGUCAGAAUUGGUGCCUUGCACAAUCACUAUCAGAGAGUCUCGAAAGCCGCCUGCUGCUCAGUCCCCCAUCGGAACACCACCGACUUCUUGGUUAGUCGGGUGAGUGGAACUGCUAUCUUAGAAAUCCUGAAUGAAUCUCCUGUAGUACCCUGCCAAACCUAGGAAGCUCCGAAUCUAUGAUGGAGACUUCGGGACCUCCCACUGCAUCACGGCCUCUAUCUUGGCUGGAUCGACCAAUAUACCCUUCUGGUAGACGAGGUGCCCAAGGAACUGCACCUCGCGCAACCAGAAAUCACACUAGGAGAACAUUGCGAAAAGUCUCUCCCUCCUCAAGACUUCUAGCACCUCCCUAAGGCGCUCCUCAUGUUGCUCCUGAGUCUUGGAAUAAACCAAGAUUUCAUUGAUGAAUACAAUCAUAGACCGAUCCAACAUCAGCCUGCACACGCAGUUCAUGAGGUCCAUGAACGCGGCUGGAGCAUUGGUGAGCCCAAACGACAUCACCACACACUCAUAAUGACCAUAACGGGUCCUAAAAGCUGUCUUUUGAACAUCUUCACCCCUGACCUGCAUCUGAUGAUAACCGGAGCGUAGAUCAAUUCUGGAAAACCAAGAUGCUCCCUGAAGUUGAUCGAACAAGUCAUCUAUCCUCGGGAGUGGGUAACGGUUCUUCACCAUUACCUUUUUCAACUCCCAGUAGUCUAUGCACAUACAGUGCGACCCAUCCUUCUUCUUCACAAACAAGAUCGGGGCUCCCCAUGAAGAACUACUCUGUCUGAUGAAACCCUUGUCUAUCAGCUCCUGCAGCUGCGUAGACAACUCCUGCAUCUCUGGAGGAGCCAACCGAUACGGUGCCUUGGCUAUCGGAGCCGCACCCGGAACCAGGUCAAUCCUGAACUCAACCUCUCUCUACGGAGGUAUCCCAGGCAAUUCCUCUGGGAAUACGUCCGGGUACUCUCGCAACACUGCUACAUCAUCUACUAUCACUGUAACCUUAUCCCGGGUAUCCAUCACAUAUGCGACAUAACUUGCGCAACCCUGCUGGAAGUAGCGCCUUGCUCUCACGGCUGAACAAAGAAUCGGUCCACGCUGUGGCCUCUCGCCCUGAAUCACCAACUCUCCCCCACCAGGGUGCGGACCCUCACUAACUGUAGCUCAUAAUCAAUCAUUGCCCCAUUGGGGCUCAGCCAUUCCAUUCCUACUAUAACCUUAUUCCCUCGUAGGGGAAUAGGAACCAAAUCCACUGAAAACUGCUCAUCAAAUAACUUAAGCAAACACCCCUUAUGCACUCUCACGACCCUGACGGUCCUGUCAUUAGCUAUCUCAACCUCAAGUGGACAAUCCAGCUCCCCCGAAGCUCUGCUAAACCUCUUGCUAAGCGCAAGCGAAACAAACAAUUGGGUAGCCCCAGAAUCAAACAAGACUGUAGCUUAUAUGCCGUUCACUAAGAACAACCCUAUAUAAAAACAUAUAACUAUAAGAAACAAUCAACAUUAAUAAAGAGAUGAAGGGAAAAUACAUACCCGUCACCAUGUCAAGAGUUGCUCGCGCCUCCUCUGCUGUUAUCUGAAAAGCUCUACUCUUUUCCACUGGCGCCUCGACCCAGCUCUAACGACCGUCCGUCAUCCUCAAUGUAGCAAGGGCAGGUGCCGACACCUUCCCUGCUGCUCCUAAGCUUGGUCACUAGGACUUUUUAUGUCCCCUCUGAUUGCAAUGGAAGCAAAUUAGUUCUGAUACUGCGGUGGAGGUGGUAGAAACUGUACAAUCUCUGCUCAUAUGCCUAGUCCGACCGCACUUGUAGUAGCCGGAACUCCCUGCCUUGCACGCCCCAUCGUGCAAUGUCCCACACUUGCCACACCGACUGUGGCUCUACUGACCUCUGGACCUAUGAUCCGAAGCCUUGGGCUUCUUGCCCGAACUCCCUGUACCCGAAGCCGCCUCCGGCUUCAUGUUCUUUUCCAUCUCAAGAUCAAUCUUUCUCUCUCUCUCUCUCUCUCACCCUCGCAAUCAUAUCAUCCAGCGUAUUACAACUAGAUCGGCUCACAAACUGGCGGAUAUCACUCCAAAACAUCCCAUGAUAACGAGCCUUCUUCAUUUCCUCGUCAGCUGCGUAUUGAGGAACAAGAAGAUCCCUCUCCAUGAACUUGGCGGUAAUCUCUGCCACUGUCUCUAUAGUCUGUGUAAGGCACUCUCUAGCUAACUGUUGCACCUUAGUAACCGGUGCGAACUCGGCUCUGAACCUGGUGGUAAAAUCAGCCCAAGUCAUAGUAUCAAGUGUUGUGUCAUCCCUUAUACCAUGCCCAACCUCCUCCCACCAGUCCCGUGCCCUGUCCUUUAGAAGACAGGAUGCUAAUCUGACCUUUUCGCCCUCGGGACAUCUGCUAGUAUGGAACGUGUUGGCAACAUCUGCCAACCACCUAGUACUCGCAAUGGGGUCCCGCGCUCCAUGGUAGUCUGGAGCUCCACAAGCCUAGAACUCCCUGAAGGUGAGUGUGCGCGAACCCAUCAUGGCCGCCAUCUCAGCGAGAAAUGUGCACAACUUCUCAUCCAUCAACUCCAAGAUACCCUCCUUGAUCGAACCGGAGAUCACAGGAGUCUGCUCAAGUAUGAUACGGGUAACCUCUAAAGUGAAAAAAUCCCUAGUCUGCUCAUCCAACUGCUCGGCGCCCAAGCCUGAUCCUGAGCACUCCCCGGCACCUGAGUUGCCGACUAUUGGCCUAGGGCAUAAAACCACCAUUCUAAAAUACAUAACAACAAUGUCAGAAAUACUGAUAUAUCUCGAGGGAUCACUAUUACUACGAGUUCCCUGGUUUCGCCUUGGCCUUCCUUGAUUCAAGUAAAGAUCAUGUGCUUUCAGUAGUAUGGGCCCCUACUACCUUCCACAUCUAUCUAUACCUUCCCCAAGAACUGCCUCGACUGCACCAAGUCCCUUCUACUACUACUGUUGAUCUCAUGCUAAUCUCAUCGUAGGCUAGCCCUAAGGUGGUCACCAACCCACUCUCCGCCAUCAGCUGCAUAAGAAGUCACCACUUUCUUUCCCACUUUCNNNNNNNNNNNUCCCCACUUUCUUUCCCUAACUAGCUCGCGAAUACUAUUACAUAUCACUCAGACUAUAUAAUUCUUCGAAUGAGGGAUCCUACCCUAUAACGGUUGGACUCAAACAAGAGCUGCGAAAUAGAGCUAGAUCUAACCUUCUGAAUUUAUUUAGUCCUUGCAAUAUGUAACUUAACAUAUUCGUUUACUAGUUAGUGAAAGACAACUAGAACUCCUAAAAGCACAAAGUAAGCAUAAUUCGGGAAUUGAGUACAUAAUCAAGCAUAUACCACUCUGGCUAUCAUUCUGACUAAUCUGUACUAGCAUACAAUGCUAAGCUCAUACUAUCAAGCAUAACCAAACCAGGCUAUCCUACUAUUGUCUACUCAAUACUAGCAUGCAAUUCUUAUAAAGUUGAAACACAUAUCGCAGGCACAUAAGGCAUCCUCCUAGAUCCUCAGUCCUAUUCUAGCAUGCUGUUCUAAUGAAACUGAAACUGAUAAUCAUAAGAUAAGCUUGUAUGGGUAGUUUGGGAGUACUUACUUGAGCUCGGCUGAUCGCAUGCACCACACCCCUUUUUAAGAAAACUCUUUUUCUUUCUAAGUUCUUUUCAAAAUUUCCUUUCAAAAAUGUUUCUCUUUUAAAAAUAUUUCACCAUUUCCUUAGUUUGAGUUCAGAGGCACUUGGAAGUACGCCUGAAUCCCUCAAACCAAGGCUCUGAUACAAACUUGAAACGACUCAAAAUACGACACAUAAAUUUUUGUUAUAAUAUAACUAAAAACCAAAUCCUCGAAUAUCAUAUAUAAUAAAAGCAUGGCAUGAGUAACUCAAAUGUCAUAGUACUGUGUCAAAACAAAACUAUAUCAAUCAUAACAAUGUCUAAAACAAACUCCCAGGAUAAACUGAAGCUGUGGUGUGUGCGAUGCCAUCAACCCGAGCUCUUCCCUUUGCUUGCGGAAGUACCUGAAACCAAAACUGAAACUGUAAGCACAAAGCUGAGUAAGCUCCCCCAAACUACCACAUACCAGAAAAUAACAUAUAAAACACAUACUAGGCCUUGCCCACUGCAUCAGACAGAAGUCCGGAAACUAACCAGGGCCUUGCCCUUUGCAUCGGACCGAAGUGCGGAAAUUGCAUCGAACCGAAGUCCGGAAACUAACCAGGGCCUUGCCCUCUGUAACGGAUCGAAGUCCGAAAAAUGCAUCGGACCGAAGUCCGGAACUAACUGGGACCUUGUCCCCUAUAUCAGACUGAAGUUCGGAACUAACUACAUCGGACCAAAGUCCGGAAAUGACUGCACAUAACAUAACAUAUCUACUAGCAUGAGCACAAAUACUGUAUACUACAUCGGACCAGGGUCCGGAACACAUAACACAAACAUGCUUGUAUCACAAAGACAUCAAGCACACUACCACUUCAUCGGACUGAUGUCCGGAAUUACUACUAACUAUAUGGGUCAGCAUUGUGGCCAUAAACCCGUUCCUACUGGAAGGAAACUCACCUCGUAAUGCUGGCUGCUGAGAUGCUAGCUCUAAAAGUGGUUGACUGUUGCUCCGGAACUGUCCGGCUACAAAUCCCAAAAACACUAGAUUAGUUACUUGCAAAUACCCUCAGUGUAAGAGGACUAUUUUACCCUUGGUCAAGUCAACUUCCAGUUGACCGGACUCGCCGAGUCAGGGCGCAGACUCGCCGAGUCCCUUCUUUGCUAUCACUGACUUUAACUCAUCGAGCCCCUUUCCCAAUCACUGAAUCACCCUGAACUCACAAGCCAAAGAAAAACGGGGACUCGCGACUCGACUCGUCGAGUCCGAAGAACAACUCACCGAGUCCUGUCGUGCAAAUUCCAUACAGUUGAAUUCUAAACCAUUCCAGAGCGUUUAACUUGUAGAUCUGAGCCCCUGGAACCUUCUGAACAUAUAAAGUUGCUAACUUAAUAUGUAACAAGAAGGAAUGAAGCUAUUUCACUCAAACACUACUUUUCUCAGGAAAACUCAUCCGACUCGCCGAGUUGUAUGAACAACUCAUCGAGUCUAAGGCAAUCUUCAUCGGACUCGCCGAGUUGCUCAUCCAACUCGUCGAGUCCACGGCUAUCUUCAUAUGACUUGCCGAGUCAAGCUUGCGACUCGCCGAGUCCAUUCGGUCUCUUUUCCAUACACCCUGAUUUGAGCCAUGCAGUGGCUCCAAAUCACAGAUGCAAGCUUCUAGGGCAUGCUUAUCACGUAAAGUUGCAAACUUUACGUGCAUGCAUGGCUUUAAAGGCUUCAAAUGACAAAACUAAGCUCUUAAUGGGGGUUGUAAGAUCAAGAGGGACCUCAAUCACGAACAUGACUGAAACUUUAGACUUUUAGAAUGCAAUGAGGGUCCAUAUCUGAAGUUUCCAUCCAAUGAGAGUCCAUAUCUCAAGUUUUGAAUCAUAAAAGGCUUCAAAGAAGGCAUUACAAGCAUAAAGGAGGUUGUAAUGGAGGACUACACAAGGUCAUAACUUCAUUACCUAAAUGAAAAAUAGAUGCAAGCUAACUCCUAGAUCUUCCUUCUCUUCUAUGGACCUUCUCUCCUUCUCAAAGCUUCGAAGCUAUCACAAGCAUACUCAAACUCAACAAUGGGGCUAGGGUUUACAGGGGAAAUGUUCUAAGAGUAAUAGAGGGGAAGUUGGGGUGUAUAAGUGUGCUAAAAUAGGGUGCAAACCGUUAAAAUUAGGGCUUCAUCCAGACAGGCGGACUCGCCGAGUCCAGCGUAUGGACUCGUCGAGUAGCCAGCUCAACACGCGUGAUCGUCCCGUCUCUACUCGACGAGUCAGGCUACAGACUCGUCGAGUACCCAUUCAGAAAUGAAAACACUUAUUUAAAUCUCAUACCAGAAAUGGGGCGUAACACCUAGGUACGCGGAACUUGAUUAGUCGGAGACAAAUCUACAUGACGUGAUGUAGUGUCUAGUUGUUUCACGGGAUGUGAUAAUCCGAACCUAUUUCCGUUACCGUUAGCUAAUUUUCGUUAAUAAAAUUUGAAUUUUAUUGAGUCCCGUCAAUCCCUUUUUGUUUGGAAAAUUGUUUAGUUAUAUAAUUUAAAUUUAUAUAUAUGAGUCGGGACCAAAACCACGCGAAAUUUCGAGUUUUCCUUCGAACAAAACAACAGUUCACGACCUGACUGGAGUUCAUGGCCGUAAACCCAUUUACGGCCAUAAACUCGUUUAUGGCUAGUGCCAGGUGGCCCCCACCUUCAUUUGAACCUUCUUAGUCGAAAUAUCUGUCAUUCUCUCUCUCUCUCUCUCUCUCUCUCUCUCUGUCUACCUCUCGACCGUAAACCCCAAAACACCCUCAUUUCUUCCAAAAAUCAUCAAGAAUCACCUCUGGAGGUUGUUUUGGAGCAUCUAAAACACAUUUUUCAUUGAAUCCAACAUACUCGUUCUUGAUUUUAUGGCCAUACACACUUGAAACCUUCAAAGGCCGUUAACCCUUCAAGAGGCUAUUCUUGGCCAUAAACCCCCUUCAUGGCCGCAAACCCUCCCUAAGUGGUGAAUUAGACUGAAAACCCAUUUUCCUAGAUUCAAUCAAGUCCCGGUAACAUUCCUUAACCGAAAGAAAGUGUUUUUCUAACACUUUAUCUAACCAAAUCGCUAAUUUAGAUACACAUAUGUAUUAAUUGUUAUUAGGAUCCCGUUGAGUGCCGCGUACAACAACUCGAGGGUCUUCAUUCCUAGUUUCAUUGUCAAACACUUCCAUACAACUAACAGUGAGUUCAUACCCCUAUGAUUUUGCUAUUUUUAAUGUUUUCAGGGGGGGGGGGAUACAAGCCAAACACAAAUGUUUUUGUGAACUUAUACAAAAGAAUUUUCACAGGUUUAAAACUUAUGCAAUUGAUACAACCAAAAGAUUUACAUGUUUUAUAAAAUAUUUAGAUAUUUUAUCCCUUUUUUAACAUGCCGAGCAUAAGGGACGUUUUCAACGUACAACCAUAAUUGCAUAGUUUUCAAAUCAAUAGACGAUCCAAGUACACAAUAUACAUGCAAACUAUAAUAUGUAUAGUUUGGGAUUUCAAUACACAAUUUUACAAAUUCAGAGCUUAUACUUUAAUAACCAUAUAAACUAUAACGAGUUUAGUUUAUGACAUACAUUACUACUUUCGGAUUUCAAGCGUACAACAUUAGAUAAUUAUUUAAGUAUAAUUAUCGUUACAUUACAAGAACCACACGUAAACUAGUUAAUACAGGAUUGUGACACAACUCUUCAAUUGUACCCUUCGGGGUACGUAAUAAAUCCUAUCAUUUAGUAUAACCAGAGUCUCCUGAAGGGAGAGUGUGAGAUUUAUGAAUAGAUCUAUUCAGGACCGACAGUCCCACACCUGAACAACUAGCUAUAGUUAGGCAGGCACGCCUGGGGUGACAAAUGUCAUAUAUCUGACACUUGAAGAAUGUCGUAAAGGUCACUAGGUCAUGUCAAGCAUGGUUAUACGACUCACAAUAGUAUAAACUAAUCUUAAUGUUUACAGGAUUUCAUUCUUCAUUAGUUUUAUUUUAAUUAAUAGAACUACUAUACAUUACAUUGGAGGAUUUCAGGGAUACAAUACUCGGUUUUAUUUUAAAUAAUAAAACUACUAUACAUAAUGGUGGUAACCAGGGUUUUCAAACAGAACAUUCUAUACAUUACUGGUGAUAGCUAGGGUUUUCAUACGAAGGGGUUUUUCAUUCAAAACAAUGUUAUCCAAUACAACUGGUGGUAACCAGACAUAUCAACUAAUACAUUAUGCAGUAUUACAGAACAUAGUAACGAACAUACAUGUUAGAAAAUAUUGGAUUUUCUUAGGAAGCAUGCAUACAUUUUUACAUAAUUCAAUGAUUGGUUUUCACUAGAAUAACAUUCUUAUGAACUCACCAGCUUUAUGCUGAUACUCUUUCAAAAAUCGUUUGUAUUCUCAGGAAAUCAGUAGACUGGUACCUCGGCAGACUUUUGAGAAGACGGAUUGUAUAAAGUCUUGUCUUUCUUUUUGCUACUUUUGAUGUAUAAAAGCAUGAAUCAAACAGAUGUAAAUACUUUUUUUUUAUAUUCAAUGUAAUGGUUGUUUUUUACUUUGAUUACCAUGUUGAAAUUGUUGUUAUACUAUACAUGGCGUCAUCCACCCCCCGAACGUUUCUGAUGUUCUGGUUUUGGAAGUGUGACACGGGAGGAGCAUCGUUGGAUCAUGGUUUGAUCGUUGGGAGUGAUGCAACAUCUGGGGAUGGACCAUCCACAUUUUCCUCAGGUGGGUCCUGAUGUUCCACUCACUUCAUAACCACAGGGUGCUGGUCACAAUGGUGAUAGUCCUUCAGGCACACAUCAUCGGGAUACUGAUGAUGUCAAUGAGGGUACGAAGAACGACGAGGGUGAGUAUGAGAGCAGCGAUGAGUCGGUUGAGGUUUUUGGGUUGAUACUUUGUAUUUUGAUACUUAUCUCUGUUUACUUGUGGGAUGUAUUUGAUACACUUUAAGUACUUUUUGUAUUUGUAUUUGUAUAUAUGAUUUUUGUUCAAUCGUUUAUCUAUCCCCGAUUUAAUCGAUGUAUUGAGUCAGUCAAGACUGAACAUAGUUGAUCAUGCUACAUUUAAGAGUGACUUAAACAUCACAUACCAAACCAUAUUUGAUAACUGUCUUAUAUAUUGUGUUUUAGAUUUGUAUACUUUAUUCAAGAUUGGUAGUUAUUAUUGUCUUGUACUUCUAGACCAUCAAGUAAGGAUCGACCAGGCAGGAAAAGUCUGAGGGCAGGACCAUUUUGGUGUAUAGCUAUUCUGAUAUCCAGCAACCUAAGAUGACAGUUCCAACCUAGAUACCUUUACCAUAUGUAGUACGUUAGUAGGGUAAUCAGUAGUAAUACUUUUAUUUAUAGGUUUGACGGGAAAAAUAAUCCGACUAUAUGUCCUAAGCCAUAGUCUUAAUUCCUAACGAAAUACUAAUUCGUUGUAGCAACUAGCUCUGAUACCAUUAUGUCCUAUGCCGUACCCGGCCACUGGCGGAAAUGCCGAGUAAUGACGUUACAUAUAUUUCCUAAAUCACAGAGCACCAAUCAUAACUAUUUAUUUAAACCUAUAUGUCUUCAAGCUGAUAAUCCUUUCUUGACUUGAUCUUUACUCCAUCCUAGGAACACAUGCAAUUUUUGAAAACAUCAACUUGAUAUUGGUGAGUUCACAACUUUUGAAGUAAAGGUAUAAUAAACUCUUUUGAAAACUUUUUGGAAAUCUGUCACACCCCCAAACUAGAACGACGGAAACAUUCGGGGAUAGAUAACUUCAUAUGUAGUAUCACAACAAUUGCAUCAUAGUAAUCAAGGUAAACAAUACCAUUACAUUGAAUAUAUAAAAAGUAUUUACAUCUAUUUGCUUCAUAUUUUUAUACAUCAAAAGUAG
rnacentral:lncRNA from 1 species